UACGAAGGGGGCGAGCGUUGUUCGGAAUUACUGGGCGUAAAGGGCGCGUAGGCGGCCCUCUUUGUCGCGUGUGAAAGCCCCGGGCUCAACCUGGGAACGGCGCGCGAAACGGGGGGGCUGGAGUUCGGGAGAGGAGCGUGGAAUUCCCAGUGUAGAGGUGAAAUUCGUAGAUAUUGGGAAGAACACCGGUGGCGAAGGCGGCGCUCUGGACCGAGACUGACGCUGAGGAGCGAAAGCGUGGGGAGCGAACAGG
rnacentral:rRNA from 1 species